rnacentral:rRNA from 1 species
GGGCGCGAUAUCACUCUCUAAAUACCAGGCCGAAGAAUGAAACGGUGGGGCAAUGAAGCCUUCCACAUGUCUCUUAACAAUCCUUCGGUCCGGCCUUCUUAAGCGAGGCUCGUCUCUCUUUAGAAAUGAUUAGACAGAUGAUAUCCUUAACGUUCGCAUGUUUACCGUGUGAUUUGGCGAUCGUCUCUGCACCUCUACAAUAUCUGCGCAUGUGAUACAUGUGUUGUUUCCGUUAAAGAAUAUGGCAAAAAGAGCCUGUCUUCCCGUAUCCAAUGCGACCCGACGUGUUCAUUCCGCCCAUCUGACAUCGUGUAGCUCGUGCGCUGUGUUUGGGAAACGCAGCCCAAAAUUUGGUGGUAAAACUUCAUCUAAAGGCUAAAUACGGCCACGAAAACCGAUAGCAAACAAGUACCGUUGAGGGAAAAGUUGAAAAGUACCUUUGAAGAGAGAGUUCAAGAGGACGUGAAACCGGUAGGAUGGAAACGGAUAGAGCCAACGAACAAGCCCGUUAUUCAGCUUAGUCGGCCUGCGCCCCCUGUUGUGCCCGUCGGGCUUAGGGCAUUUUGCCGGUGAAUGGUGUGACUGAAGCGUGGUGGUGGUGUCCCUGGCGAAACUGCCGCGGGAAGAAGGCCCUCCCUUCUUUCACGGGAACUUUGGAAAACCCUUAACCCCGGUUUGGGGAAG